rnacentral:rRNA from 1 species
UACGAAGGGGGCUAGCGUUGCUCGGAAUCACUGGGCGUAAAGGGCGCGUAGGCGGCCGCUUGCGUCGGAUGUGAAAGCCCGGGGCUCAACCCCGGAACGGCAUCCGAUACGGGGCGGCUCGAGACCGAGAGAGGUGAGUGGAAUACCCAGUGUAGAGGUGAAAUUCGUAGAUAUUCGCAAGAACACCAGUGGCGAAGGCGGCUCACUGGCCCGGUACUGACGCUGAGGUGCGAAAGCGUGGGGAGCAAACAGG